GCAGACACAUUCCAGCCAAUCAGCAGCAGACCCUCCCUCCUAGACCCUCCCACCUCCUGGACAGCAUCCAUUUUACAUUCAUUGUGAAGCUGUCCAGAAGGUGGGAGGGUCUGGGAGGGAGGGUCUGCUGCUGAUUGGCUGGAAUGUGUCUG